rnacentral:rRNA from 1 species
CUUAGUGGCGGACGGGUGAGUAACGCGUGGGGAACCUGCCCUGUACCGGGGGAUAGCAGCCGGAAACGGCUGAUAAUACCGCAUAAGCGCACGAAUGUCGCAUGACAUGGUGUAGAAAAACUCCGGUGGUAUAGGAUGGACCCGCGUCUGAUUAGCCGGUUGGGUAGGGGUAAAAGCCUACCAAAGCGAAGAUCAGUAGCCGAGUUGAGAGACUGACCCGGCCACAGUUGGGACUUAGACACGGCCCAGACUCCUACGGGAGGCAGCAGAC